GGAAUCUUGGACAAUGGGGGAAACCCUGAUCCACCCAUGCCGCUUGAGUGAUGAAGGCCGUAGGGUAGUAAACCUCUUUAAUCAGGGAAGAUAAUGACGGUACCAGCAAAAGAAGCCCCGGCUAACUCCGUGCCAGCAGCCGCGGUAAUACGGAGGGGGCAAGCGUUGUUCGGAAUUACUGGGCGUAAAGCGCGCGUAGGCGGUUUGUUAAGUCGGAGGUGAAAUCCCGGGGCUCAACCCGGGAACUGCUUUCGAAACUGCCAGUCUAGAGUUCGAGAGAGGUGAGUGGAAUUCCGAGUGUAGAGGUGAAAUUCGUAGAU
rnacentral:rRNA from 1 species